rnacentral:rRNA from 1 species
GACGAACGCUGGCGGCGUGCCUAACACAUGCAAGUCGAGCGAGUGAAUCUCCUUCGGGAGUGAAGCUAGCGACGGACGGGUGAGUAACACGUGGGCAACCUGCCUCAUAGAGGGGAAUAGCCUUUCGAAAGAAAGAUUAAUACCGCAUAAGAUUGUAGCUUCGCAUGAAGUAGCAAUUAAAGGAGCAAUCCGCUAUGAGAUGGGCCCGCGGCGCAUUAGCUAGUUGGUGAGGUAACGGCUCACCAAGGCGAGGAUGCGUAGCCGACCUGAGAGGGUGAUCGGCCACAUUGGGACUGAAACACGGCCCAGACGCCUACGGGAGGCAGCAGUGGGGAAUAUUGCACAAUGGGGGAAACCCUGAUGCGGCAACGCCGCGUGAGUGAUGACGGCCUUCGGGUUGUAAAGCUCUGUCUUCAGGGACGAUAAUGACGGUACCUGAGGAGGAAGCCACGGCUAACUACGUGCCAGCAGCCGCAGUAA